rnacentral:rRNA from 1 species
UACGGGGGGGGCAAGCGUUGUUCGGAAUUACUGGGCGUAAAGGGCUCGUAGGUGGCCAACUAAGUCAUACGUGAAAUCCCUCGGCUUAACCGGGGAACUGCGUCUGAUACUGGAUGGCUUGAGGUUGGGAGAGGGAUGCGGAAUUCCAGGUGUAGCGGUGAAAUGCGUAGAUAUCUGGAGGAAUACCGGUGGCGAAGGCGGGACUCUGGGCCGAUACUGACGCUGAGGUGCGAAAGCGUGGGGAGCAAACAGG